rnacentral:rRNA from 1 species
UACCUGGUUGAUUCUGCCGUGUCA